rnacentral:rRNA from 1 species
GUAGUCAUAUGCUUGUCUCAAAGAUUAAGCCAUGCAUGUCUAAGUACAAGCCUUAUUAAGGUGAAACCGCGAAUGGCUCAUUAAAUCAGCUAUGAUUUAUUAGAUGUUGAACCGUAUCUACAUGGAUAACUGUGGUAAUUCUAGAGCUAAUACAUGCCCAAAAGCUUCAACCUGGAAACGGGAAGAAGCGCAUUUAUUAGACCAAGACCAAUGGAUUUAGCCACUUUAGUGUGGCGAUCCUUUGCUAUAUGGUGACUCUGGAUAACUGUAGCUGAUCGCAUGGCCUCCGAGCCGGCGACAUAUCUUUCAAGUGUCUGCCUUAUCAACUGUCGAUGGUAGGUUAAAUGCCUACCAUGGUUGCAACGGGUAACGGGGAAU